UGAAUAUUAAAAUUUGUGGAAUUGUUUUUUAGAUUGUUUAUUAAUUAUGUGAACAGAUUAUUAUUUGAAAUGUUCAUAUUAGUGUCUCAAAACUUUAUUAUACGUGUUUUACGAAAUUAAGGUUUUAGGUAAUAUAACGCUGAAAUUAUGGCAGAUGAUCCAAAUCGAGACCUUUUGCCUGUCAGAGAAGGUUCUUGUACGGAUACUUUUAGUAGUAUAGAUCCCAGGGAUCGGCAUUGCGUGAUUAAACUCGAUCGUUAUCAACUGGAGGAUAGAUAUUUGCGAUUACUCGAGGAAGCAAAUAACUUGAAGAAACUAACAAAUUGUCAGGAGGAUAAAAUUAAACGAUUGGCAACAAAGUUGAUGAGAGUAACAGCAAGUACAAGGCCAUGUUCGCUUGCUUUAAACAUUUAUGAAGAUAAAAAUAAAAUAAUCGCUCUUGAACUUGAAAAUUCAAAGCUCAAAGAUAAAAUCACAGUGUUGAAAAAUCAACUACUGAGUCAUACGAUAAGCAGUAGAUCAUCAUCAAAAACUCGCGUGAGGCCGUCAUCCGGACGCAUAACUUGUCGUAGUGAAAGCAGCCGUACCAAAAUAUGUUGCCACUGUUUAGACGAUGAUACGUCCAACGUGCAAAGUUAUCUUGAAAAAAUCGAGGAAUUGGAAACGCAGAAAAGUGAAAUGUGUACUCGGAUAAUUCAAUUAGAGAAAGAGGUGGCCACUUAUACUACUAUUUGCCAAAGGGAGAAAGUAGCGGACAAUGUCGAGUACAUAAAGAUUUGGCGAGAAAUGAAGCAAAUAAACGAUAAACUAUUAACAGCCGAAAACGAGAACGGGUCAUUGACCGCACAAAUCGACGAUCUGAAGAAGAAGCUCGACGAGAAAACGAAGAAGAACGAGAUUAUGGCAUCGGAGCUUUUAUUGGAGAAGAAACGGAUAGCGGAGAUCGACGAGCAAAUAUUGAAAACGAAAGAUUCUGAACUUUCGUUACGGGAAAAGAACGAGCAGAUAAAAGAUCUGUUAAAAGAGGUAAAGAUACUGCAGCAACACAACGAGGAGCUUAUAAUAUUGAACUCGAAAUAUACAAAAGUGGAGUUAGAGAACAAGGAAUUGAAGAAAAAAGUGAUCGAUCAACAACACGAUCAAGAGUGUUUGAAAACUGCCGUCGAUAACGAACAGGCUAAUAUCAUUGCGCUGCAAACCUCGAACGAACAAUUGUUGGGAAAACUCGAGGAAUUGCAGAAAAACAUAGAAAAUUUAACGAGUUAUCAAGCGGAGAAAGUGGAGUCUAAGGACGCCCAGAUAUCGAUAUGUUUCUCCGACAUGCAGAUAUCAACAUUGCCCACGAAACACGAUUUGAUGUGCAAAAAUCUCGAGGCCCAAAUAAAGUGCCGCAAGUGUUCCGAAUUAGAAUACGAAGAGUUAAACUCGGGGAAAAGGGAGAAAUGCAAGAAAUGUUGCGAACCGAUAGAGAACGAGGACUUGUACAAGAACAGGUUGUACAAUCCUCAUGCAAAGAUCAACGCAGUGGAGAAUAAAUCGAUGCAAACGGAGAUUGUAAAAACGACGGUUAUGGACGGGAAUGAUUACAACGAGAUCGUGGCAUCCAAGAAAGAGAUAUUGAUAAAAGAAGUAAUAAAUUCCGAGUCGCAAACCUUGUGCUCGGAAAGUGCUGUGAAACGCGCUAUGAUCACAGAUUCGCAGUGCUACAGUUUGAGCCCUGACAAAAUGUUGAAGUUUUUAGAGGAGGCGCAAAUAGGUAGAGGGGAACAAAUAAAACAGAGAAGCACGGCCACUGACAUUGAUUACGAUAUUUUGGAUCAAUAUCAGAGACAAAGUUCUACGGAUAAAAAAGCAAAGCAAGAAACUUUUGAACUCACACUUCAGCGUCAGAGUAGGAAAGACAAGAUAAUUCCUUUGGAAAAGCGAUCGGCAGAUCCGAAUAAAUUGAUAUCCGUACUGUUUAAUAUUCUUCAAGAGUAUUCCUUGACUUGCACCAUACCCAAGGAGGCGUCCACUCUCUAUCGUCCGGGGAAACGUCCAAAAUUUCCCAACAUCGAUAACGAGACCGUGAAAACACCGGUGUACAAUGACGAAGUGUCGAGCAUCUCCUCCUCAAAGAAAAUUUGUUGCAGCCCUUAUAAACAGGAGAAGAUAAAGAAAAAGAUUUCCAAUGCGAAGAAACGUCAUCGAAUCAAGAUGUUCAACAGUUGCACUUGUACCAAUCUGUUCAAGUGUGGUGGGAAAUGUAUUCAUUGCUGCAGUGGCUCGGUGAAAUCGUUGCAGAAUGAUGCUUCCCCAUACGGAUCUUGGAAUAAAAAUGAAAAAAAAAACGCGGAGAAUUCGAAGGACACGUCGACGAAUCUUCCGGCAUCGUUGCAGGAUUACGUCAAGCAUUUGGACAAAUACAAGGAAUUUAUAACCGAGAUGAACGAAAUUGCGGAGAGUGUGCAAGCCAUGGACCCGAUACAAAAUUUCUUGCAACGAGAACGUAAAUCCGAGUCGGAAACCCAUUGCAGCCUGGAAUGUCCCAAUAUCGAUUGCAUCGAUACCUCGAACAACGACUCGUUCCCGUUGGUGAUCGGGGAAGGUCAGGGACUUGUCGAGCUUCACAUCGUUUCCUUGCAACUUUCAACAUCCGCUAAGCAGAUACUUUUCCAAGAGAAGGAUCUUGGUAACGUGUCGUUGUACGUGAGUUGGAGCAUUUGGAAUCAAGAAACCGCCUAUACGCCCACCCUCAAGUGUCCCAAAUUGAACUUCAACUCAUCGUUCGUCUACCGAAUCCCUGAUCUCUUCUCCUUUUUCAACUACAUCCUUCUAGAAUUCGUGAUAUUUCAAGUGAACGUCUACCAGGAGGACAACAAAAGUUUUAUAGUGGCCAGGGGAAAGCUGUGCAUCAAGGAUAUAUUGGACUAUCCUCAGAACAAGCUCCACUACAUUGCCCCUGUGAACAGCGUGAUGCCGUGCACGGUCGGGAUGAAUUUUGGCCAAUUGUCCCUGUGGGUGAGGUUGAGCUGCGAUAUCGAGAAGGUGGAGGCUUUCAAAAAGAGGCGCGGGAUAGUGUCGGAUGUGGAGAAACCGAGGAAAGAAUUGGAAUCGAAAGUUGUUGUUCCGAAAGUUGUUGUUCCGAAAGUUGCUCUUCCGAAAGUUGUUUCGAAGGAAGAGGAAGUGGAAACGGAGCCGAAAAAAGUGACGGUUUCCGAGAAAGAGCCCGAAAUUCAUUACGAAUCAAAUGAUUCUGACGAGGUACAGUCGAUCGUCCUCGAACAGAUGCCCGAAUUGACCGUGAUGAAAGAGACCGAUGAGGAAAAUAAAGAUUCCAUAAAGGACUCUGUAAUCAACGACGUCCCCCUUAAAUGGAAAACCGAGUCGAACGAGGAAACGACGGAAGAAGAGGAAUUUGACGAAAGAUUUCUACGUAAAGAGAUGAAAUUGCCGCCGGGUUUUUUGAAAGAUCUAGAGAACGAUCUGGACGUGAACGAGGAGAAAUCAAACGACACGAUCAAGGACGUGGCCGACGUGCUAAUGCACGAAAAUUGGAACAAGUUUAAGGAACGGAGUCUUCGAGCUGCCAAGGAUUCCAUGAAAAUUCAAGAACCUACCAUCGAUGAAUCCGAUGAUGAUGAUAUCGAGAGGGAUACGAUAGCCAUCGAAAUCAUAAGCAUGAAUCUGCACCCGACAUCCUCUGUUAUGCAGAAUCCCGAUUACGAACUACUUUACGUCGAGUAUUGCUUCUUGGGUUAUUGCGGCGCUGACAUGGAAACGAUUUCGGUGAGGAAGCCAAUCUAUCCGAAUCAACCGUUCGAAUUUCAUUUUAAGAAACUGUUUCGAAUAAGCGAGGAUAAGUACUCGAUGCAAAGCGAUAUCUUACGUUCGAUGUUGGACAGUACCACUAAUCCAAAUAUAAGAUUCAUUGUCGUUUGCGAACCAAUCCCUGAAGAGACUGAUAUGAAAGAGUGUGUGGAAAUAGGAUACGCUAAUUUUAAUAUAAGAGAUUAUGCAUUAGGAGAGGCUAAAAAAUAUAACUUGCUUCCGAUCUAUGAUAUAGAGGAACACGAAGAAAUCGGUAUGUUAAAGUUGGUUCGUCGACAGAGAGGAACAAUUAUAGAGAAGCAAUUAUAUCAAAGUUAUCAAAAAUAAAGAAUUUUGAUCGAGCAAAUAUAUUAUCAUUGUUGAGAGAAACGAAAAAAUUGUUUUCCCGCGAGGGGGAGGGGAAAAAAAUAUAAAUAUAAAUUGGCGAAAGAAACAAGAUACAUACCGACAAACACGGCAAUAGAAUUGGUAUAAUUAUGGGUGGCGAUGAGGGUGAAUGGCAAGCCACGUUUGAAUGGGACGUGACCAGAGACGUUCCACGUUUCAUUCAACAAACUUUCUUGUAAACGGGAUGACGUGAAGUUGGAAAGUGUCACGACUAUAGUACGAUUCACGACCCUCAUAUCCAGUUUCACUCCGGCCUGAGUUGUUGACCAGGACCCUGACAAACGGCAAGGGAAAGGAUCAUAAGGACGGAGCAUUUCCAAAUAUAUAUUUUCGAUGCGAUAAACCGAUUUAUUUAUACACGCUGUAUCGAGGCUCUCUACAACCGAUCCCUGUCUUAAGUAGCGUCGGGAUCGAGGGAAAACGGGAUGCAAUGGGAGGUAACGGGACAUAUCUCGCCGGUCGUAAAAGUGCAUCGACAGCGGGGCGCGCGUAUUAAAACCAAGUGGAGUGCACAAAUAGACCUCGCAACGAUCCGUCGAAGUACCAUCGGCGCCGGACAGAAGACGGCUGUUAGCGGGAAAAAGGACGAGUGGGAAAUGGGUAGGCGAGACUGUCGCAGAAAUUAUGUGCGACGUGUAUGCACAAUGUAUAUAUCGAACGGUAGAGAAAAGGCUGGAGAUAGGCAUCGAUUAUUAUUAGAACCAGCCGAAAAGCAACGAACCGAUUCUGUCCGUCUGCUCGACGAACGAUUAUUGUCCAACUCUAUAACUCUAACCUCUUGAUUUUUUCGAAGAUCAUGCAAGAGGGACGAUUUGAUAUUUGUUUUAUUUUAAUAAUAAUAAGAAUAAAUCGAUUUUUGACGGCGACAA